UAGGGAAUCUUCGGCAAUGGGGGGAACCCUGACCGAGCAACGCCGCGUGAGUGAAGAAGGUUUUCGGAUCGUAAAGCUCUGUUGUUAAGGAAGAACGAGUGUGAGAAUGGAAAGUUCAUGCUGUGACGGUACUUAACCAGAAAGGGUCGGCUAGCUACGUGCCAGCAGCCGCGGUAAUACGUAGGUCCCGAGCGUUGUCCGGAUUUAUUGGGCGUAAAGCGAGCGCAGGCGGUUAGAAAAGUCUGAAGUGAAAGGCAGUGGCUCAACCAUUGUAGGCUUUGGAAACUGUUUAACUUGAGUGCAGAAGGGGAGAGUGGAAUUCCAUGUGUAGCGGUGAAAUGCGUAGAUAUAUGGAGGAACACCGGUGGCGAAAGCGGCUCUCUGGUCUGUAACUGACGCUGAGGCUCGAAAGCGUGGGGAGCGAACAGG
rnacentral:rRNA from 1 species